GUGGGGAAUAUUGGACAAUGGGCGCAAGCCUGAUCCAGCCAUGCCGCGUGAGUGAUGAAGGCCUUAGGGUUGUAAAGCUCUUUCAGUGGGGACGAUAAUGACGGUACCCACAGAAGAAGCCCCGGCUAACUUCGUGCCAGCGGCCGCGGUAAUACGAAGGGGGCUAGCGUUGUUCGGAUUUACUGGGCGUAAAGCGCACGUAGGCGGAUCGUUAAGUCGGGGGUGAAAUCCUGGAGCUCAACUCCAGAACUGCCUUCGAUACUGGCGAUCUUGAGUCCGGAAGAGGUGAGUGGAACUCCUAGUGUAGAGGUGGAAUUCGUAGAUAUUAGGAAGAACACCAGUGGCGAAGGCGGCUCACUGGUCCGGUACUGACGCUGAGGUGCGAAAGCGUGGGGAGCAAACAGGAUUAGAUACCCGAGUAGUCC
rnacentral:rRNA from 1 species